rnacentral:lncRNA from 1 species
CCUAUACGGCGAUACGUGUUCGAUUCUGGAUGGCUUCAUAGCCGUGAUCUGGUGGUGGUCGCCGGCUCGCCGAUCUCUGCUCCCGCGGCGGCGCCAUUGCUAGCGCCCCGUCGGCCGGCGCCCUCCUCUCCGCCUCCGCCCCCACGCUCCGAAUCCAUGGGUGGCUACCACCGCACACUCCGCCCCCCGCACUCCAGCCGCCCUCCGCGCUCUUGCCCUUCCCCCCACCGGAGAAGGCGGCAACACUGCAAGCUAGGUAGCAGCGACGACCUUGCUACCGGCUCGCCUCAUCAGCCACAGCGGCAGCCUCCCGAUCCCCCCAGGGUGAGCAUCCGUCAGCAUGCCUGGAUACUGAUGUGUGAAGGUGUCCCAGAUGCUUGGUCCUCUGCCACCCUUCGCCGCGGCACCCUCAAACUGCAUCAUGUGUGAAACAGCAGUCAAUUUGUCAGGUUUCAGAUCUGAAACAGAGCACAUCGUGAUGAGAUGAGAAGGAAUCAGGAAACACAUUUUUCAGUGCCAUCAUUUUCUGGUUACCUACAUCAAUGAGGAAGGAUGAGGUUGGAUGCCUG